UCUUAUGGAUGAGCAAAGAAAGUGGUUUCUUGAGAUGGAAUCUACUCCUGGUGAUGACGCUAUGAA
rnacentral:pre_miRNA from 1 species